UACGAAGGGUGCAAGCGUUACUCGGAAUUACUGGGCGUAAAGCGUGCGUAGGUGGUUCGUUAAGUCUGAUGUGAAAGCCCUGGGCUCAACCUGGGAAUGGCAUUGGAUACUGGCGAUCUAGAGUGCGGUAGAGGGCAGUGGAAUUCCCGGUGUAGCAGUGAAAUGCGUAGAGAUCGGGAGGAACAUCUGUAGCGAAGGCGACUGCCUGGACCAGCACUGACACUGAGGCACGAAAGCGUGGGGAGCAAACAGG
rnacentral:rRNA from 1 species